rnacentral:rRNA from 1 species
CGUGACUGGGGUGAAGUCGUAACAAGGUAGCCGUACCGGAAGGUGCGGCUGGAUCACCUCCU